CCGGAGAGAUCUUCUCAUCUCCUGCCUACGUACCUCAUAUAGUAUGAGGAUCAGGGCGACGUAGUUCCCCUAAACAGGGAAAGAACUUCUAACCUAACCAGAGACUAGGGAGAUAACGGACUACUAGGGAGACUACGACUCGAGCCUAGAAGUUGUCAUGCAUACGAUUCCUAAGUUGAGGUCUCUAUCCUAACUUGCAC
rnacentral:lncRNA from 1 species